rnacentral:rRNA from 1 species
CGGGUACCGUCAAGGCACAGGGGUAUUAAUCCUGUGUUUUUCUUUCCCGAUAAAAGUGCUUUACAACCCGCAGGCCUUCUUCACACACGCGGCAUUGCUGGAUCAGGCUUGCGCCCAUUGUCCAAUAUUCCCC